CCGGAGAGAGGCCUUGUAGGCACAGCUGCUGAGCCUCGAUCGGCUCCGAGUAGGGGCUCCUGCCCGGGUUGGAGCUCGGGGGUCCACAGCCGCCGACCCGCGCCUGCCUCCUCCCAGCGCCCGGGCCGACGAAAUGACCAUUAAGAAGUAGAUGCCCAGAUGCAAAAGUGAUGAAACAGUCAAUUUGUCAUAAAGUAAGAUGCAGCUGUGGCUUUUCAACCAGAUUAGAACAGAAUUGUAUCUAUUUUUCUCAGAAGAGAAUUCCACAAGGUAAGAAAUUG
ensembl:lncRNA